UAUUAUCUACAGUCAGAAAUGCACCAAUACCCUGACAUAAGUGUGUUUCCAGACAGCCUAGAACCUGUCAUUUUAUUGCAUUUUACCCUUCAGUUGCUCCUAGAAUCUAUUUCAAAUGAAAGGGUAAAAGUGAUCAUAGAAAUAGGUUAGGUAAGAGGAAAGGAAGACAGAAAUGUUCACAAGUUGCAAACAGGAAAAAGAAAUAGGACAACAGGGCUUCGGAAAGGCUGCAAACACAUCGGUAAACACACAGAGACUGUCCUGGAACAACCCUGAUGUUUGCCUUUGCUCUGAUGGUGCAAUGUGGUCUAGUGGUCUGACCAACUGGGAAUCCAGAGCCUGGGUUCUCUGUUUUGCUUCAGACUCACUGUUCCAUACUGAAUGGCCUUGGAUCAGGUUUCUUGAUCUGAGAGAUAGGCGGAUUUCCCUGCUGUGAGGCUCAAUGUUUAGAAGUAGAAAGGUUGCAGAGGGGUGAAGGACAUGGUUACGAUUAAAGCAAGACUAUCCUAUGUGAACGAUCAAUGAACAAAGUUUUAUUCUUACUUGCGCAUUUAGAGUCAAACACCAGUCUUCUCUGCCUGGUACGAUGGGUUGGUUUGUUUGUUUUGUUGAGGUCCCUGAUAAUCCAGGCAGUUUGCAAAGGGCUAGGGGUGCGUGUGAAGGGUGAAGGGAAUCAUCUAUUGACAGUCUUUGGUGGUUUCCUGUGUUUUGCACGUCCCUUCUCCCCAUCCCCAGCACUGACCUCUUUUUUUUUUUAAACUUAGGAAUUUAUAUUACAGUGUUAGAUUUUAUAAUUAACAUGGCUACUUACAUAUAUUUUUCUCUAAAUGAUCUCAUAUUUGCAUAUUUUAAAAAUAUUCAAGCACAUCUUAAGUUCUCUUUCAAGGCAACCAUGUUUAAAGAAAGCCCCGCUUCUGUUACAAUUCCACACUCCUUGGAGCGGUGAGAUUAGCCGGGCUCGCAGAUCAGGGAAAUCCAUAAAUAGUUAAAAGCCUCCAGCCCGUGGUAAAGAGGAAGUAAAAUAGACUUAUCUCAUGACCCCAAAACACAUCAAAAACUGCAAAAUAAUGAACCUUUGACUUGGCAUUUAAACAAAAUAGGAUAGAGUGAGAAUUUUGUUAUUUCUGAAGUGGGUUUUCAUCUCCAUGUUGAAGUCAAAGAAACUUGGAAAUAAUUAUGCUUUCUUUGAUUUCAACGUGCAAGCUUUAAUAAGAAAAUUACUGCUUUUGUUUUUUAAAUCAUGUAAUCACUCAAGAGGAAUUGAUUCACAAUUAUUGCUAUUAAGCCUUAUGAACAAGUUACAAAAUAUGAAAGCUGAUUCUUUAAAAUAUACAUUCCAUGUUUAGUAGAUUUUUUUUUAAUGUUGAACAUUGUUUUCUUUUUCGAGCUCAUUUCUGGCUCGCAAAGCCUAGAAAAAUGGUCUGAAUCAAUAGUAACUUUUUUCCCUCUUACUUCUUCCUUCUCUUCUCCUUCCUUCCCACCAUUCUUUCUUUUUCUUCCUCUACUUUUCUCCCCAAUGUGUUUGAGUGCCUACUGUGUACCUGGCAUGUUGAUGCCAAGUGCCUUGGAUUUAAAGGUGAAAAAGACCCAGGUUCUUCAGAGAGCAGCCCCAGGAAACAGACAGCAAACCCCACUUACCUGUGUGACCAAAGGUACUGAGAGCCCGAGCAAGACACCCAGCCAACCAGGCCACAGGAAGUGGGGUUGCAGGGAGAGCUGCUCAGAGGAGGACUAGCCCCAGCGUUGCAGCACGGGGCACACACACUGGGAUGUGCCUGCCACAUGGUAUGUUGUGUCUCCUGUCAUACUUCCUACUCGAUGUCACCCUUGAAGGUCUCAGGCCAUCUCUGCUGAGAAGCCUUUGUUUAAUGGCUCAGAUAGAACCCAUGACUUCCCCCAUCUCUGGGCACUCCUGGAACCUGACUCACCGUUCUGUUAUGAUUCUGACACUGAGUCCGCUCUCCAUCAAAUAAGGCCCUUAAAAAUGUCUGUGAGAUGGGAGACUUAUCUUUCUUGACGGGCCCUAGUGCACAGCACGCGGUCAUUUCGUAACCUCAAUAAGUAGAACACAAAAAGUAUACUUUGGCAGCUAAUCUGUGCAAAUUAUAUUUCGACUGUAGAACUAUGGAGCUAUGCAAAAGGUAAGUAUAUUUGUUUAGCUUAACCUAGUUACUGGAGCAAUUUCUGAAGCCUCCUUAUUCAUUUCAGGUUUUAGGCAUCUGAUCGACCGGAGCCAACAGGGACUCAUUUUGGAGAGCACUGCAUUACUAGGUCUCAUUCUGGUGCAAUGCACACUAUUACUAUCAGCAAAGUGCUUUUGAUUUACCAGGAAAUCUUUUGACAAAGCUAGUCUCCCUUCAGGGAAGUGUGGGUGGUGGUGAGUGGGACAGAGGAGUAAAAAAAGAGACACUCCAAAUAAAGCAGUGAAGUUCUUCUGCGCUGUUACAAUGCGAUCUAAUUAGACAAAGCAGAUUUGCUCUUUAAUUUCCUUUAGCAGAGAUUGAUACUACAAAUCUUUGUAAAAAGGAGUGUUUUACGGGCAGAAACCAACAUGUGACACUUUCUAGAGGCAAACGGUGUAUAAAUUUAGACUUUGCUAAAAUAACUAGUUAUCAUGUGAUCCAAUCUUAACGGGCUUUUAAAAAUCCGCAAGGAAAAUAUAUUUUAUUAGUUUAACUUGGUUGUUAGAGCCCUGUCUCCAUGCAUGAUUUACUCGGACACGUGGCGUGUGUUUGGAAAAAUCAAACCUCCUUUGGGAACUGCACUCUUAAGAUAUUUGUUCAGAGAUGUUCAAGCUGUCAGUUACAAGAUGCUUGAGCCAGAAAUGGGCAAGUCCGGGUAAAAGUGCAGUUGUUAUGUAGCCAUUCUGUGUGUAUGUUUGACAGUUGUGGUCAAAUAUAUAGGUGUCAUCUCCCUCAAGUAAUCUUCACCAUCUGUUACCUCAGCUCAUCUUAGGGCUCAUAAUUGUGUUGUUUCUCUUAGGACCAA